GGGGAUGUGGCUCAUAUGGUAGAGCGCUCGCCUAGCAUGAGUGAGGCACUGGGUUCGAUUCUCAGCACCACA
rnacentral:tRNA from 1 species